AGUUAACGAUUACAAAGGAUAUAUUGGGUAGCGACUGUAUAUUCUCUAAAGUUAACUUAAUACGUAGUAGUGGUUAAAGUUCUCCCAAGGAUACUACUAGGAAGCACACUUCGAGUUCUCCGGAGUGUGUUUCUU
rnacentral:sRNA from 26 species